UACACACCGCCCGUCACGUCAUGGAAGUCGGCAACACCUAAAGUCCGUUGAGCCAACCGCAAGGAGGCCAGACGCCCAAGGUGGGCUGGUGACUGGACG
rnacentral:rRNA from 1 species